rnacentral:rRNA from 1 species
GGGUCUGUCCAUCGGUCGGGCUUUCUCGGUCCGCACUGUUGCGUUGGAUUCCUACCUUCUGAAAAACCGAUUUGCCAUUAAUUUGGUGGGUCGGGGAAGCAGGACUGUUACCUUGAAAAAAUUAGAGUGCUCAAAGCAGGCUAGUGCCUGAAUACAUUAGCAUGGCAUAAUAAAAUAGGACGGCAUGGUUCUAUUUUGUUGGUUUCUAGGAUCACCGUA